CCGCCGCCGCCGCCGCCGCCGCCGCCGCCGGGCUUUCCGUGCAAGAUGGAGUUCCUCCUGGGGAAUCCGUUCAGCACGGCGGUGGGACAGUGCAUCCGUAAGGCCCCAAGAGCGGAGAUUCCAAUAAAAAUGGAAGAAGAACCAAGUUCUGCUUUGGACUCUGAAGAGACUUUUAGUUCUUGUAGGCAGAGUUACACAGUGAGAGAUAGAGACAGAGAGAAAGGUCUUCUCUUUCCAUUGGUACAACCCGCAAGUGGCCGCUACGGCCAGCGCGUUGCAGCCACAUGUUGCGCUGAUCCGAAGCCAGGAGCCAGGUGCUUCCUCCUGGUCUCCCAUGGGGGUGCAAGGCCCAAGCACUUGGGCCAUCCUCCACUGCACUGCCAGGCCACAGCAGAGACCUGAACUGGAAGAGAAACAACCCGGACAGAAUCCAGCACCCCUACCAGGACUAGAACCUGGUGUGCCAGCACCACAGGUGGAGGAUUAGCCUAGUGAGCCGCAGUGCUGGUCAUGUGAUGCAUUUAUGAUAACAUAAUAAACAGCAAAUGUUUAUUAACAGAAAACCCAGGAAGAACAAAGUAUAAAGUAUUUUCAGUAUUUGAGAAUUUCUAUACUGAACCAAGUUGUAUAAGAUCUUGACUUUUUUCUUUUAGGAAAAGAAAGUGCGGAUUCAAUGUUAGUACAUUUUACCAUUGUAGAGGACCAUGUAUAUUUUGGAAGAAAUACUUUGAGUUCAUUGUCCUUAGGGUGCAUUAGUUCUGCUGCUUGUCUAACAGCUCUAUAAGAUAUAUGUGAGAAUCACUGUGUACCUUGAAACUCAUUUCAGUAUUAAACUCUAUCAUUUUCUAUAGUAAACAUGGAGAAUUUGGGUAGUUUGUGUUCUUAUUUGUAUCCAUAUUCCAUCUCCCUUCCCGGGCUGUGUCAUUUGUUUCCUCAGAUCCCAGGCUGGCUUUAUGUGUAGAAUGGUGCCUUGUAUACAGGAAGCACUUCAGAAGGUGGUAAAUGGGAACAUUGUUACAAUUUGUUUAUGAAUUCCAGAAAUGAGAUGAUAACUGAAAUACUUGACAUCUUUAUUUUCUACCACUUGGAAUCAGUGUAAAUAGUCGUUCAAGUGUCACAAACACUAUGAAAGCCUUUAUGUGCCUGUGGAAUUCUGGAAGGGCAGCCUUACAGCAGUGAAGCGCCUAUACUGUUGUGGUUUUUCACUGUGCCCUGCCCGUCCUACUUUAUAAAUGCUGUAGUUCUCCAAAUCCUACCUUUAGUGCUAAAGGGUAAUAUAAAGCUAGACUUUGACAUCUUAAAUAAUAGAGAGAUUCCCCUCUCUGAACCUGUCACAGCCGAUCACAGCAAGCAAAAGCAUGAAUGUAAAAGAUAGUUAAAUUAAUUAAUUAAUGAUUUCGCAUGUGACUGAGGAAUGUUAAUAUGAUAAUAUAUGUAAAAUAUAUGAUGGAAAUACUAUUAGGGUAAAUAUAAACAAUCACCAAGUCAACAUGGAGGGAGAGUAUGGAUUUCAGAGGCAGAAAAAUGUCUUCACAUGUGUAUAAAUUUCACUGGUGAAUUCUAGCUUAUAGUUUCAUUUGUAGUUUAAUUAUAAUAAAUAACACACAAUAUAAAGAGAAAUGUUGUAUUGUGAAGAAGAAUGAUAUUUUUUAGUUUAUUUUUUCUAUGAAUAUUUGAAGAUUAAAAUAAAUUAGUAUUACUGAAUU